GACGAACCGUGCGAACGUUGUUCGGAUUCACUGGGCUUAAAGGGCGCGUAGGCGGACGGUCAAGUCAGGGGGUGAAAUCUUUCAGCUCAACUGGAAAAGUGCCUUUGAUACUGAUCGUCUCGAGGGAGGUAGGGGCAUGUGGAACUUCCGGUGGAGCGGUGAAAUGCGUAGAUAUCGGAAGGAACGCCGGGUGGCGAAAGCGACGUGCUGGACCUCUUCUGACGCUGAGGCGCGAAAGCCAGGGGAGCGAACGGG
rnacentral:rRNA from 1 species